GGAGAUUCACGUCUUCUCGCGGGUUCGACGCAUCCGCUCCUCUCCGACGGCCCUGCCCCCGUCCGGACUCGUCCGGUGCGUGGCGGUGGGGUUGCAGAGGGUGGUGUGGAGGCCCGCGGCGGACCGCACUUCUCCCUUAGUAGGACGUCGUGACCCGUCCGGUCAUGGUCUUAAGGUCGCAGGGUGGAGCCUGUUCGAUCGUGCUUGCACGUUUUCGGGCAGACCCCCGCGUCCCGGCCAUGAAUUUCGGUCGGUAUCGAAUGACGGUGUUCGGCCUCUCACCGGCGGAGGAGACUCCUGCCAGUGAGCGCGACUGAAGCCCUUGACAAGGUGCCGGGAUGUUUCAGUCAAGGCGGGCUUCCGUCCGUCUGGCUGCUCUCGGCCCUGUUGGUCUCGGUGCUCUCUCGCUGGCCUAUUCACACCUGUCUACGGCGAAUCAGUUUUGGGCUCUUGUCCGACCCGUCUUGAAACACGGACCAAGGAGUUCAGCGUGUACGCGAGUCAUUGGGUGGUAAAACCCAAAGGCGAAAUGAAAGUGAAGGGAACUUUACGUUUCUGAGGGAGGAUGAGUCGGUCACCCGCAAGGGGCCACUCCGCACUCCCGGGGCGUCUCUUUCUCAUUGCGAGUGGAGGCGCACCCAGAGCGUACACGCUGAUACCCGAAAGAUGGUGAACUAUGCCUGGCCAGGACGAAGCCAGGGGAAACCCUGGUGGAGGUCCGCAGCGAUUCUGACGUGCAAAUCGAUCGUCGGAGCUGGGUAUAGGGGCGAAAGACCAAUCGAACCAUCUAGUAGCUGGUUCCCUCCGAAGUUUCCCUCAGGAUAGCUUGCGCUCACGUGAACGAGUCUCAUCCGGUAGAGCGAAUGAUUAGAGGCCUUGGGGUCGAAACGACCUCAACCUAUUCUCAAACUCCAAAUAGAUGAGAACUCCGGCUUUUCGGAUCAGAGUGCCAAGUGGGCCAAUUUUGGUAAGCAGAACUGGCGCUGUGGGAUGAACCAAACGUCGAGUUAAGGCGCCUAAAUCGACGCUCAUGUGAAACCAUGAAAGGCGUUGGUUGCUUAAGACAGCAGGACGGUGGCCAUGGAAGUCGGAAUCCGCUAAGGAGUGUGUAACAACUCACCUGCCGAAGCAACUAGCCCUGAAAAUGGAUGGCGCUGUAGCGUCGUGCCUAUACUCGACCGUCAACGGCAAAGAUGGCUGACGGGCAACCGUCGGCCGUUACGCCUUGACGAGUAGGAGGGCCGCGGCGGCGUGCGUAGAAGGGUCUGGGCGUGAGCCUGCCUGGAGCCGCCGUCGGUGCAGAUCUUGGUGGUAGUAGCAAAUACUCCAGCGAGGCCCUGGAGGACUGAUGUGGAGAAGGGUUUCUUGUGAACAGCUGUUGCACAAGAGUCAGUCGGUCCUAAGCCCUAGGAGAAAUCCGAAGCGAUGGGUUGCCGUGAACGACAAAAACUUUUGUAGUUGCAGGCACCCGUUCGGGCGAAAGGGAAUCCGGUUCCUAUUCCGGAACCUGGCAGUGGAACCGUUCCAAUUCGGGCCCUCUGAGGACUCGUCAGGGCAACCUGAAUAGACCCGGAGACGCCGACAGGAGGUUGGGGGAGAGUUGUCUCUUCUCUAUAAGCGAUCGAGUUCCCUGGAAACUUCUAGCAAGGAGAUAGGGUUUGGAUCGCGAAGAGCACUGCAGUUACGGCAGUGUCCCAAUCUUCCUCUCGGACCUUGAAAAUCCGGGUGAGGGCCACGAGGAACCCCACGCCAGACCGUACCC
rnacentral:rRNA from 1 species